rnacentral:rRNA from 1 species
AGUCGAGCGGUAGCACAGAGAGCUUGCUCUCGGGUGACGAGCGGCGGACGGGUGAGUAAUGUCUGGGAAACUGCCUGAUGGAGGGGGAUAACUACUGGAAACGGUAGCUAAUACCGCAUAAUGUCGCAAGACCAAAGUGGGGGACCUUCGGGCCUCAUGCCAUCAGAUGUGCCCAGAUGGGAUUAGCUAGUAGGUGGGGUAACGGCUCACCUAGGCGACGAUCCCUAGCUGGUCUGAGAGGAUGACCAGCCACACUGGAACUGAGACACGGUCCAGACUCCUACGGGAGGCAGCAGUGGGGAAUAUUGCACAAUGGGCGCAAGCCUGAUGCAGCCAUGCCGCGUGUGUGAAGAAGGCCUUCGGGUUGUAAAAGCACUUUCAGCGGGGAGGAAGG